GAACUCACCAUCUAUGACACUGUUUAAAUGAAACAGGACUUUCUCUAACACACCGGGUUCCUGCUCAUUUCAGUGUCAUUGAUUGGUUUGAUUCU
rnacentral:miRNA from 1 species